rnacentral:rRNA from 1 species
AUUGAACGCUGGCGGCAGGCCUAACACAUGCAAGUCGAGCGAGCGGCGGACGGGUGAGUAAAGUCUGGGAAACUGUCUGAUGGAGGGGGAUAACAACUGGAAACGGUAUCUAUUACCGCAUACCAUCAGAUGUGCACAGAUGGGAGUAGCUAGUAGUGGGGGUAACGGCUCACCAAGGCGACGAUACCUAUCUGGGCUGAGCGGAUGACCAGCCACACUGGAACUGAGACAGGGUCCAGACGCCUACGGGAGUCAGCAGUGGGGAAUAUUGCACAAUGGGCGCAAGCCUGAGGCAGCCAUGCCGCGUGAAUGAAGAAGGCCUUCGGGUUGUAAAGCACUUGCAGCGGGGAGGCGUUACCCGCAGAAGAAGCACCGGCUAACUCCGUGCCAGCAGCCGCGGUAAUUC